UACGUAGGGUGCAAGCGUUAAUCGGAAUUACUGGGCGUAAAGCGUGCGCAGGCGGCUUUGCAAGACAGAUGUGAAAUCCCCGGGCUUAACCUGGGAACUGCAUUUGUGACUGCAUGGCUGGAGUGCGGCAGAGGGGGGUGGAAUUCCGCGUGUAGCAGUGAAAUGCGUAGAGAUGCGGAGGAACACCGAUGGCGAAGGCAGCCCCCUGGGUCGACACUGACGCUCAGGCACGAAAGCGUGGGGAGCAAACAGG
rnacentral:rRNA from 1 species